UUAUGCUAGAAAGAGCGCAGGGUGGAUGCCUUGGCACUAAGAGCCGAUGAAAGACGUGAUAAGCUGCGAAAAGCUUCGGGGAGGAGCAAAUAUCCGAUGAUCCGGAGAUAUCUGAAUGGGGAAACCCGGCUGGACAGACUCCAGUCAUCCAUACGCCAAUCCAUAACGUAUGGAAGGGAACCCGGUGAACUGAAACAUCUAAGUAGCCGGAGGAAGAGAAAACAACAAGUGAUUCUGUGAGUAGCGGCGAGCGAAAACGGAAGAGCCCAAACCGGAAUGCGUGCAUUCCGGGGUUCGGACCGCGUAAUUGAUCUGAUAAGUUUAGCAGAAUGGUUUUGGGAAAGCCAGCCAGAGAGGGUGAAAGCCCCGUAAGCGAAAGACGAGUCAGCAAGGCGGGAUCCAGAGUACCACGAGACACGAGAAACCUUGUGGGAAUGAGCGGGGACCACCCCGUAAGGCUAAAUACUCCUUAGUGACCGAUAGCGCAUAGUACUGUGAAGGAAAGGUGAAAAGGACCCCGGGAGGGGAGUGAAAGAGAACCUGAAACCCUGUGUUUACAAGCUGUGGAACAUCUAUAUAUGAUGAACCGCGUACUUUUUGUAGAACGGUCCGGCGAGUUACGCCAUCUGGCGAGGUUAAGUUCUUAAGGAAUGGAGCCGAAGUGAAAACAAGUCUUAAUAGGGCGUUAAGUCAGAUGGAGUAGACCCGAAACCGGGUGAUCUAUCCAUGUCCAGGAUGAAGUUGCCGUAAAAGGCAAUGGAGGUCCGAACCCACAUCCGUUGAAAAGGGUGGGGAUGAGGUGUGGAUAGGGGAGAAAUUCCAAUCGAACCCGGAGAUAGCUGGUUCUCCUCGAAAUAGCUUUAGGGCUAGCCUCAUGAGAGUCUUUUGGAGGUAGAGCACUGAAUUCCCGCGGGGGCGUCAAAGCUUACCAAAGGAUAUCAAACUCCGAAUGCCAGUAAGAUGAUUCAUGGGAGUCAGACUGCACGAGAUAAGUUGGGUAGUCAAAAGGGAAAGAGCCCAGACCUGCAGCUAAGGUCCCAAAAUGUGUGUUAAGUGGAAAAGGAUGUGGGAUUUCAAAGACAACCAGGAUGUUGGCUUAGAAGCAGCCAUACAUUAAAAGAGUGCGUAAUAGCUCACUGGUCGAGAGGUCCUGCGCCGAAAAUGUCCGGGGCUGAAACACACUACCGAAGCUCAGGAAUUAACGUAGUUAAUUGGUAGAGGAGCAUUCUUAAAGGGAAGAAGCAGUACCGGAAGGAGCUGUGGACUUUUAAGAAGAGAGAAUGCCGGAAUGAGUAGCGAGAGGAAGGUGAGAAUCCUUCCGGCCGAAUACCCAAGGUUUCCAGAGUAAAGCUGAUCUGCUCUGGGUAAGUCGGGGCCUAAGGUGAGGUCGAAAGACGUAGCCGAUGGACAACAGGUUGAAAUUCCUGUACUGCAGUAUAACAGAACUGUGGGGACGCAGAGGGAGAGCACUAGCGGGAAUGGAAUCCCGUGGCAAGCGAGGUAGGAGUAGAGUUGGCAAAUCCGCUCUAUAAUCCGAAGACGUGAUGCAUACCGAACUGAAGUAGGGAAAUGUGUGAGCCAGCUGCCAAGAAAAGCCGCUAUUGUUUGUACUGUACCCGUACCGUAAACCGACACAGGUAGGUGAGGAGAGAAUCCUAAGGCCGACGGGAGAAGCAUUGUUAAGGAACUCGGCAAAAUGACUCCGUAACUUCGGGAGAAGGAGUGCCAGUGAGAGCUGGCCGCAGAGAAUUGGCCCAAGCAACUGUUUAGCAAAAACACAGGUCUAUGCAAAACCGUAAGGUGAAGUAUAUGGGCUGACGCCUGCCCGGUGCUGGAAGGUUAAGGGGAGAGGUUAGCGCAAGCGAAGCUUUGAACUUAAGCCCCAGUAAACGGCGGCCGUAACUAUAACGGUCCUAAGGUAGCGAAAUUCCUUGUCGGGUAAGUUCCGACCCGCACGAAAGGCGUAAUGAUUUGGGCACUGUCUCAACAAUGCACCCGGUGAAAUUGAAAUACCAGUGAAG
rnacentral:rRNA from 1 species